rnacentral:misc_RNA from 1 species
GUGGUUUUUACCAUCAGAUACCCGAUUCACCUGAUUCUCCUGACGCCCAGCAUGCUGAGGACUUUUUAGAGGCUUUAAUAGCAGAAGAACAGAUACCCGAUUCACCCGAUUCUCCAGGAGCCCAGCACGAUGAGGACUUUUUUGAGGCUUUAUUAGAAGAAGAAGAAGAACAGCAGUCAUCUGACCCUUGGGAAUUCCCAUCACGCGGUAGCUGCAGACGCAGAACUCCUCCUCCUUCGAGUUCUUCAGAUUCGGUUAGUGGAAUUUUUGUGUGUGUGUGUGUGUGUGUGUGUGUGUGUGUGUGUGUGUGUGUGUGUGUUCAGUGAUCUAGUUUCCGUAAUCUACAGAAUCACACAAUUUUACAGGCAGUCCACGUUGCACUGAUAGACGGACCCCCUCAGGAUGAACCUAUAGAUUUGACUAAUCCAUCUCACCGAGAUCCCAUACCACCAUCACCCGCUGGCGACGGUCCUUGUUCCCGUCAUUGUACCGUAUGUCUUGAAGAAGAUAGGCAGAGACGUCGUAUCGCUAGAUUUUUUCAGGUUGGAAAAUUAGUCUUUAUUGACGCUUUUGCGAUUUGACCGAUUGGUGUGCAAUUGUCCAUGAAAGACUUCUUUUUCUACAGGAGAACCGUGGACAGUGCAAUGGGUUAAGGGUUUCAUCCCACGCUCUCUUCGCGGUGGUACGGGUCCAGAACGAUCUCACGAAUCUGACACGCUACGUGGACCGGUUUCUGCAAUCAGACAUGGAUUUGUUGUUCCUUCAUGCAGAGCGGAUGUGGGAUGUACUGCGUUCAUUCCUGGAAACACUACUCGUGGAAGCUACCGAAAGGGUCCAAACGGAGUUGCAGAGGAUCAGAUUGCAAAGGACUGAAAGGGAACAGGAGUCUGCUAGACUGGUCGUUUGCGUGGUGUGCCAAACUGCACUUCCCACCGUAGCCCUGAGAACUUGCGGCCACGUACUGUGUCCAUCGUGCAGUCACCGCCUCUUCAGGUGUCCUGUAUGCAGGGUUCCAAUUGUCGGUAUCCUGGAUCUCUUCUUCCUGUAGGUGGACCGUUCUUCCCACUAAAUAAGGGAGGGGGGUAUUACAUAGUACACGAGGUGACAACCAGUAUCUCUGGACUGACCAUGCGUACUAUGUAAUACCUUAACCUGGGGGCGUUUCUUUUAACGUCUGGACAGUCCCAAGCCCCUGUCCAUGUGGGAUAACGGUCGUGUAAACCCUGUGUUAGGAAAAUGUGUUUCUUAAAGAGAGAGAACAUUUACGGUCGCACUGUCGCCAUCGCUCUACUAGGGAAGGGAGUGUGGGAGGAGUCGUAUGGCGCGCCGCGCCGCACGCCACCACCACAUGUCACCAUCCGCCAUCGCUCUUUAUCUACUAGGGAAGGGAGUGUGGGAGGAGUCGUAUGCCACCACCACAUGUCACCAUCCGCCAUCGCUCUGGAGUGUGGGAGGAGUCAGGGAGGGGGCUUGCUGCUCUCCCAUUGGUCGCCGUCACGGAGCUCUCGGCCAAUCAGAGGCUUGGGCUAUAGUGG